rnacentral:rRNA from 1 species
AUUGAACGCUGGCGGCAUGCCUUACACAUGCAAGUCGAACGGUAACGCGGGGCAACCUGGCGACGAGUGGCGAACGGGUGAGUAAUAUAUCGGAACGUGCCCAGUAGUGGGGGAUAGCCCGGCGAAAGCCGGAUUAAUACCGCAUACGACCUAAGGGUGAAAGCGGGGGAUCGCAAGACCUCGCGCUAUUGGAGCGGCCGAUAUCAGAUUAGGUAGUUGGUGGGGUAAAGGCCUACCAAGCCUACGAUCUGUAGCUGGUCUGAGAGGACGACCAGCCACACUGGGACUGAGACACGGCCCAGACUCCUACGGGAGGCAGCAGUGGGGAAUUUUGGACAAUGGGCGCAAGCCUGAUCCAGCCAUGCCGCGUG